rnacentral:rRNA from 1 species
CCUACGGGAGGCUGCAGUGGGGAAUAUUGGACAAUGGGGGGAACCCUGAUCCAGCCAUGCCGCGUGUGUGAAGAAGGCCCUCGGGUUGUAAAGCACUUUCAGUGAGGAAGAACGCCUGGUGGUUAAUACCCAUCAGGAAAGACAUCACUCACAGAAGAAGCACCGGCUAACUCCGUGCCAGCAGCCGCGGUAAUACGGAGGGUGCGAGCGUUAAUCGGAAUUACUGGGCGUAAAGCGCGCGUAGGUGGCUUGAUAAGCCGGUUGUGAAAGCCCCGGGCUCAACCUGGGAACGGCAUCCGGAACUGUCAAGCUAGAGUGCAUGAGAGGAAGGUAGAAUUCCCGGUGUAGCGGUGAAAUGCGUAGAGAUCGGGAGGAAUACCAGUGGCGAAGGCGGCCUUCUGGACUGACACUGACACUGAGGUGCGAAAGCGUGGGUAGCAAACAGGAUUAGAUACCCUAGUAGUC